AUUGAACGCUGGCGGCAGGCCUAACACAUGCAAGUCGAACGGUAACAGGAAGCAGCUUGCUGCUUUGCUGACGAGUGGCGGACGGGUGAGUAAUGUCUGGGAAACUGUCUGAUGGAGGGGGAUAACUACUGGAAACGGUAGCUAAUACCGCAUAACGUCGCAAGACCAAAGAGGGGGACCUUCGGGCCUCUUGCCAUCGGAUGUGCCCAGAUGGGAUUAGCUAGUAGGUGGGGUAACGGCUCACCUAGGCGACGAUCCCUAGCUGGUCUGAGAGGAUGACCAGCCACACUGGAACUGAGACACGGUCCAGACUCCUACGGGAGGCAGCAGUGGGGAAUAUUGCACAAUGGGCGCAAGCCUGAUGCAGCCAUACCGCGUGUAUGAAGAAGGCCUUCGGGUUGUAAAGUACUUUCAGCGGGGAGGAAGGGAGUAAAGUUAAUACCUUUGCUCAUUGACGUUACCCGCAGAAGAAGCACCGGCUAACUCCGUG
rnacentral:rRNA from 1 species